UCAUCAAACAGACAAACUUUUUGUUUGUCUUACAUUUUAGUCGGAACAUAACACAAACAAAAAGCUGAUCUGCCAGACG
rnacentral:pre_miRNA from 1 species